rnacentral:antisense_RNA from 1 species
CUGGAUCUGCGGGUCGGUCCCGGCGGGAGGAUUACUCCUCGCCCACAACCUCGAGGCCCCGGCGGCAACCGCGCCUUCCGGGCCGGCAACACAGGGUUUAGUCAGAUUCCUCCUGACCCACCGCUUCUGGGAAAGAGGCGCCUCCCGUCAGGAGGAUGCUGAAUUCCUCAUGACUGGACCAGUGAGUGUUCACUCACUGGUCCCUGGCGGGAGAGGCGGGACCCCCACGCCCUCCUGGCGCUCUUUGCAGAGAUGUUCCUCAGGCCCAAUCCGGGAUUUGGGAUGUCUGUGCAUGCUGUGGAGCAGAGAGUUUGCAACAUGGUCUCACUUUGUCACCCAGGCUGGAAUGCAUUGGCACGAACACAUCUCACUGCAGCCUCAACCUCCCAGGCUGAAAUGACCCUCCAACUCAGCUUUCAGAGUAGCUGUGAUAUGGUUUGGCUGUGUCCCCACCCACAUCUCAUCUUGAAACCCAGUGGGAGGAGGAAUGCUCUCCCUUGGAACCAAGCCAUCAUUCUAUGAGGAAGCCAAGCAGCCACAUGAAAAGGCCCUAUGUAGACAUUCUAACUGACAAUACUAGCUAAGGUUCCAGCUACUCACCAGCAUCAACUAUCAGACAAAUUCCUAUCAUUAAUAGAAGAAACUAUAUGCCAAGUGACAGCCAGUGAAGCAGAACAACAGGAGAAGACGGCAAAGCCAGAAGCAAAUUAUUUCGAUGGAAGAAAAAUCCCCUCUCCAGGUUGUUUUCAUUG